AUGCAGCUGACGAGUCCCAAAUUGGACGAAAUGCGCAUCCUGAAU
rnacentral:hammerhead_ribozyme from 1 species